CCCUUAGAUGUUCUGGGCCGCACGCGUGCUACACUGAGUGGAUCAGCGGGUCAGGUUGCGCGAAAGUGUUUCCUAAUCUUUAAAUCCGCUCGUGAUGGGGAUUGACGGUUGCAAUUUUCCGUCAUGAACGAGGAAUACCUUGUAAGCGCGGGUCAUCAUCCCGCGCUGAAUACGUCCCUGCCCUUUGUACACACCGCCCGUCGCUCCUACCGAUUGAGUGGUCCGGUGAGGCUUUGGGAUCUGAGCGGAAAGAGCGUUUCGCUGUUUCUGCUCGGAAAACUCAGUCGAACCUUAUCAUUUAGAGGAAGGAGAAGUCGCAACA
rnacentral:rRNA from 1 species